rnacentral:lncRNA from 1 species
CCAACCUAGAGGGGUGGUGCUCUUUACAUACUCAAGGACAACAUGGGAGGGAAGUCUGGCUGUUUCACUUAAAUUGCAACUCGCAUUUGAAAGUAAGUCAAAGUUUUUAAUGAACAGUUUCAACGAUGCGUUACUAUGAACACUGGUAAUCUCGAACCUUACCCUGUUUGUUAAAGCAAACACUUGAAAAUCUGGAGAUUUGUUGCUGGCAUGAUGACGCACUGUUCCAAGGAAUGGUUGCACACUUCAUUUCCUGCACCAUUCUCAGAUUGCAUUCCAGCGUUUACCAUGGUGACCGUGAUAAGAGGGGCGAGGAAUGAGUGGGAGCCGUGUGCGCAGACAUGGUGUCAUUAGGACAAGCCUGACACCUGUGUGUAAUCAGAGACAGGUGGACCCUUCUUGCCAUUUCUAUAAGGUAAAGAUUAAAUAAGAUGCUCCGGGUUCUGGCUUUACAACAGAAAAUCCCCAUUCAUCCACCUUCUUCCUCUAUGAUAACCUAAGUGCACUAACAAUAAAAGCCACAUGCAUCCAGUGUU